UGCGUAGGCGGUCGGGUAAGUCUGACGUGAAAUCUUCAAGCUCAACUUGGAAACUGCGUCGGAUACUAUUCGGCUAGAGGAAUGGAGGGGAGACUGGAAUACUUGGUGUAGCAGUGAAAUGCGUAGAUAUCAAGUGGAACACCAGUGGCGAAGGCGAGUCUCUGGACAUUUCCUGACGCUGAGGCACGAAAGCCAGGGGAGCAAACG
rnacentral:rRNA from 1 species